UGAGGGAAUAUUGGGUCAAUGGGGCGAGAGCCUGAACCAGCCAAGUAGCGUGCAGGAUGACGGCCCUAUGGGUUGUAAACUGCUUUUAUAAGGGAAUAAAGUGGGUCUCGUGAGACUUUUUGCAUGUACCUUAUGAAUAAGGACCGGCUAAUUCCGUGCCAGCAGCCGCGGUAAUACGGAAGGUCCGGGCGUUAUCCGGAUUUAUUGGGUUUAAAGGGAGCGUAGGCCGGAGGGUAAGCGUGUUGUGAAAUGCAGUUGCUCAACAUCUGCACUGCAGCGCGAACUGUUCUCCUUGAGUGCGCAGGAAGUAGGCGGAAUUCGUCGUGUAGCGGUGAAAUGCUUAGAUAUGACG
rnacentral:rRNA from 1 species